rnacentral:rRNA from 1 species
UACGAAGGAUGCAAGCGUUAUCCGGAUUUAUUGGGUUUAAAGGGAGCGUAGGCGGUCUUAUAAGUCAGUGGUGAAAUCUUGUCGCUUAACGACAAACGUGCCAUUGAUACUGUAGGACUUGAGUACAGAUGCCGUUGGCGGAAUGUGUCAUGUAGCGGUGAAAUGCAUAGAUAUGACACAGAACACCGAUUGCGAAGGCAGCUUACUAAAGUACGAUUGACGCUGAGGCACGAAAGCGUGGGGAUCAAACAGG